rnacentral:rRNA from 1 species
GACGAACGCUGGCGGCACGCUUAACACAUGCAAGUCGAACGAGAGAAGAGAAGCUUGCUUUUCUGAUCUAGUGGCGGACGGGUGAGUAACACGUGAGCAAUCUGCCUUUCAGAGGGGGAUACCGAUUGGAAACGAUCGUUAAUACCGCAUAACAUAAUUGAACCGCAUGAUUUGAUUAUCAAAGAUUUAUCGCUGAAAGAUGAGCUCGCGUCUGAUUAGCUAGUUGGUAAGGUAACGGCUUACCAAGGCGACGAUCAGUAGCCGGACUGAGAGGUUGAUCGGCCACAUUGGGACUGAGACACGGCCCAGACUCCUACGGGAGGCAGCAGUGGGGAAUAUUGCACAAUGGAGGAAACUCUGAUGCAGCGAUGCCGCGUGAGGGAAGAAGGUUUUAGGAUUGUAAACCUCUGUUUUCAGGGACGAAAAAAGACGGUACCUGAGGAGGAAGCUCCGGCUAACUACGUGCCAGCAGCCGCGGUAAUACGUAGGGAGCGAGCGUUGUCCGGAAUUACUGGGUGUAAAGGGAGCGUAGGCGGGAUCGCAAGUCAGAUGUGAAAACUAUGGGCUUAACCCAUAAACUGCAUUUGAAACUGUGGUUCUUGAGUGAAGUAGAGGUAAGCGGAAUUCCUAGUGUAGCGGUGAAAUGCGUAGAUAUUAGGAGGAACAUCAGUGGCGAAGGCGGCUUACUGGGCUUUAACUGACGCUGAGGCUCGAAAGCGUGGGGAGCAAACAGGAUUAGAUACCCUGGUAGUCCACGCCGUAAACGAUGAUUAAUAGGUGUGGGGGGACUGACCCCUUCCGUGCCGCAGCAAACGCAAUAAGUAAUCCACCUGGGGAGUACGACCGCAAGGUUGAAACUCAAAGGAAUUGACGGGGGCCCGCACAAGCAGUGGAGUAUGUGGAUUAAUUCGAAGCAACGCGAAGAACCUUACCAGGUCUUGACAUCGUAUGCAUAGCUCAGAGAUGAGUGAAAUCUCUUCGGAGACAUAUAGACAGGUGGUGCAUGGUUGUCGUCAGCUCGUGUCGUGAGAUGUUGGGUUAAGUCCCGCAACGAGCGCAACCCUUACUGUUAGUUGCUACGCAAGAGCACUCUAGCAGGACUGCCGUUGACAAAACGGAGGAAGGUGGGGAUGACGUCAAAUCAUCAUGCCCCUUAUGACCUGGGCCUCACACGUACUACAAUGGCUGUCAACAGAGGGAUGCAAAGCCGCGAGGUGGAGCGAACCCCUAAAAGCAGUCUUAGUUCGGAUUGUAGGCUGCAACCCGCCUACAUGAAGUCGGAAUUGCUAGUAAUCGCAGAUCAGCAUGCUGCGGUGAAUACGUUCCCGGGCCUUGCACA